UCAUGCUGGGGAUGACAACUUGGCUUAAGUGGUAUGAGGGAUAGGUUUGGCAUUUUUGGCACCGUUACUAGAUAUAGAGAACUUAGUCUACUUUUGGUAAUGAUGUUAAGAAUACCCAACAGCGAGCUCCUCCCAGUCCCUUGACCGAGAGCAGGAUCAUGUCAUAGCCAAAGCCGGUAGACAUGAACUCGAGGCUCUCGAACCAAAUCACCGUGGAGCGCGGGAUCGGUGAAACAAGAGU
rnacentral:lncRNA from 1 species